UAUGUUUUGUUGGUCUUGGGCUUUGGUAUGUAUUGACUCUAUGCAAAUUACAAUUUGCGUGGUUUUUUUUGGAAGAAAAAAGCAAGGCAAUCAAUAUACGAGUAAAGAGAACAAAACAAACAAAUGAACAUAUCCAUCAUCCAACAGAUCUUUGCAUCCCGACAUAUAUAUAAACCCCAUUGGGCGAGGAAGCACAAAAUCAUAACAUGAACAACAAAUAUGGUACAAAACAUAGAUGGUGUGCAUAUAAAUUUGGGAUGGUUCAAAUUUGGGCAGGUUUAAGCCACCAUCAUGAAUCUCAAAACACAACCAAAAAAAUAAUCUCAAAAACCACCAAAAAACCAACCACUGCCAAUAGAGUUUUUUUUUUUUUUUUUGAACGGCAAAAUAAAUUUUAUUAAGGGGAGAGGGAUCUAACCAAAAGUUAGAUAAACACCUAAAGGGCAAAGCCCAAACACCAGGGUCCUAAAAGCCCAAAUACAACAUUAAAGUUCACACCCAAAGGUCUACACUCCCAGAUUAUUGCAAGUUAAGCACAAAAGGCCCAAACAACUGGCCUAACACCAAGAAGCCCAAAACCAAAUCUGGAGAUGAACAAUUGGUUGUUUCACAAUUCAAGCUGAACUAUUUUGUCUGGGCACUUUCCUCUUCAAAAAUCUUCAAUAACCAAAAAAACACGAACAACACCUACAGUCUCUCUCUCUCUGCGCCGUGUUACAAGACUUGGUUUUGGAUAGAUUCCCUACUUUUUCUCAGAUCCGAAUGCGAAAUAAAAGGAGCUUUGAUUUUAAUUUGUUGGGAAACUGAGAAUUGAUAUAAACCUUACUUUACUUAACGGGUGAUUGAUUGUAUCUAAAAAUAGCCCUAGCAUAUUUUUGUAUAGGCUACAAGACUUGACCACCAACACCCUAAUUAAAGCCUUAAUUAAAUUAGGAAAACACACUAGAAAACUUGGACUAAUUAGAAAAUACGUACGGAUAAUGGCCUAGACGAAAUAGAAAACAUAAUAAUAAAGCCAAUAAACUAUGGUAAUAAUUUACUUCCAAAUAUGAACAAUUUUAGUUAUUUGGGGGAAAUCAUGAGUUGUGAAAGUAAAAUAUUGAAGGUUAUUCAUUUCACGGGUUUGCUCUAAGUAACAAGUUCGUGGAGCUGGAGUUUGGGCCUUGGGGUAGGGCCGAUAAACGAACUGAGCCGAACAAGUCUAAUGGCUAGUUCAUACUUGGUACAAAAUCUAAACGAGCUUCAAAAAUGGGUCCUAACUUGGUUUGUUUACUAGUCGAACCGAUCUCGAGCGAGCUUUGAAUGAGCCAAUCACUAAUUAAACUCGAGUAGCUUGUUUUUUUUUCUGACAAUUUAAACUUAUCGAGCCGCGUAGUAGGUUGUUCAAGAGUAGCUUGCAUAUUAACCAACUUAACAAAUGUGUUCGAGUUAAGUGUGUUUAUGCAAAAAACGAACCGAACAUGAGUCAAUCUAGCACGAGCUAUUUAGUUCGUUUAGCUGCCCUAAGCAGGAGUGUAAAAGUGCAUUUCCUAAAGAAGUUAUACCACUAAAAAUCGUGAGAGUAGGAAAUCCAACAAGUUGGCCUAGUGGUCAAAGCCUUGGACCGAUGCUUCCUGCCUCUCCCUCCUUAGCUCUUAGAUUCGAAACCUCUCAGGGGCUAUCAAUCGUGGUGUCCUGCAAGUGGACAGUGAGAUUGAUCCCCAGAAUUAAUCAAGGUACACGUAAACUGGUUCGGACACUGCAUAUAGAUCACCUUAUUUAGGUUUUGCUAACAAUUAAUUGAUAGUUGAAUGGUGGUAAAAGUGCGCAUAAUAUAAGGUAAAUAAGAAUUUGAAUACCUUUAUAGUAUGUCGAGCAAACGAUUAUUUAUUCAUUGCCUCACAGGGCAAUAUCUCAAAAAGAUUUGAGCUCUUCAUUUCUGUGGCCCCCAAAUAAGUAGUGGUGCGACCCGUACAAAUGAGGGGUCCAUAAUUUAGGGGUGAGCAUGGUCUAGAUUGGUUCGAUUUCAUAGUAAACCAAGAACCAAAUCAAUACUUACGGAUUGCGAAUUUGGAGAACCAAACCAAUCCAUAGAAUGCAUAGAACCAAACCAUAAGAAUAUGGUUCGGUUUAGAUUUUGAACCACGGUUUGCAUGAAAUUGAGAUAUCUACUUUCAUAAACUAUUUAAAUUAAGUACUAAGGGACAUAUUAAAUCAAAUAUUAUUAGUAUUAAAACCAAUUCUUUUUCUAUGUAAGAAAUAUAGUAAAUAUAAAGAAUUAUUAAGAGAGAAAAUAGUGGCUAACAAAGAGUCCCUAUUAUUGACCGGAAAAAGAGAUAUAUAAUUUGUCAAUUAUGUUUAUUACAUUAGGUUUAGUAAGAAUAGCAAUAUAAGAGUAGUUUCAAGUUUCAACAUACAAAUUUAGAGUAUUAGAUUAAGAAAUUAAUUUACUGUGGCUUAGGCUAGUUUUAUUUGGUAAAUCUAAAUCGUGUAUAUAUCAAUAUAUUAUAUACAUAUUAUAUACGCACACAUACAUAUGGUUCAGAUCGGAUUGGAGCCGGAACCGUUAACAUAAAUCCACAAACCAAAGCAUUAAACACAGUUUAUAAUUUUUUGAAACCAAAGCCAAACCACACAACUAAAAAACCGAACCAAACUAUGCGGUUUGGUUUGGUUUGAACCAGGUUCGUGAAUCGACGGUUUUUUUCUCACCUCUAGUCCAUAUCAUUUUGGGUAUUGUUGGGACAAAGAGUGAAUAUCUGUCGAGCACGGGUGGAUCAAGGCCUUAAUCUGUAGCAUUUGUUUGUGCUUCAAAAGUGAAAUGAGAAAAUCCUUCAUGAUCUUAAGAUUGAUCAUAUUUGUAAAAUGGAUGCAUGGAUGUUCAAAAAAAAUUGACAAAACACUACAUAUAUCCCAAAGAAAGAACGGAAAAAUAAAAACUCUUUCUUUUCUUGUUACAAAUUGGCACCAAUAGUAGAAAAUUUCAAUUGCCCAAAUAAUUGGAGAUGCUAAAUCGAACAAAAGAAACAGAUAGAUUGCAAAGAUCCAGAUUGGAAAAAUGGUAGAAAUAGUAAAAGAGGCAUGCAUGAUUUAUUUCUUCUUCUACAUUUCCAGUAACUAUAAAGUAGAUAAUUCUAGGUCAACACAGAAGCGGUAAAUGCGGUAAAUAAAGCUGCACAACUUUAGAUUUUACUAGCUUGUGAAUAUGCAGGAUCCCAUAUCUGGUUGCAAGAAAAAAAAAAAAUCUUAUGGAUUUAAAUUAAGGUGGCAAAUUACAAUUAACUAUAUGUAUCUAUAGCUAGAGAUUUUGAUCAAGCUUCUCAACAAGUAGUUGUAACGACUCGAAUCAUCAAGGAACACUAAGUAAAACUAACAAUUACAUAAUGUCUCACUCAAUCCUAGCAACCAAUCCAACCCAAGUAAAUAACAAAAACCUGAUCACCAUGAAUUUUAUUAAACAAACACCAAUGAUAACCCAAUCCCAUCUCUUCUUAUUCUCUACUUGAUUACCUUUGUUUCUUCUCCUUUUCAGUUUUCUCCUUAUUCUCUUCCUUUUCUCUACUGCUAUUUUCCCCCUCCCUACGUACCAUUUUCUCUCCCCUUUUAUGCGUUUUUUUGGCAUCCCUUUUCUUUAAAUUCUCCACACAUGUUCACAUCCACCAAACUUUUAUUUAGUCAACUGCACAACUACGUGCCACGUUUUCUUGCUAUGACACUAUUCAUAUUUCACAAUCUGGUGAAGCCCCAUACUUCCACAUUGCGCAGCCACCAAAUAAAAGUUAACCCAAAUUUCUUUCCAACUUUAUCUCUCCAUCUCCAAUACAAGUGAAAAUAAAAUGACUAUCUACUAUUUUCAUAUUUCUUUUAUGAUAAUAUUUUUUUUUAUGAUAAUAAUAACUAGAAUUCGUUGAACCCAAAUUAGAAAUGUUCGACUGCAAAAGUUAACAGAUACAUAAGUUUUUUCUCUGAUGCAUUUUUAGAUCAACCAUAGGGAUAAUAAGUGUCACUACAAACAAAGGUGUUCAACUUAUACCGGUAUUCGAUUAGCUAAAUUGCUAAAUGAUCAAUGCACCUAAUUAUUCAUGAGGUUGUGUAAAUCAAUACGUCUUCUACCAAUUCUUAAGUGCUAAGGCGCACAAUUCCAUAUAUAAUGGUGUAUGUGUCAACAAAAAAAAUUCAAAAGUACUAUGCAUUAUAACCUCCCUGGCCUUAAGAGUUAAGAGUAAGGGUUUAAUAUGCUAUCAUAUGACCAUAUCAAACUAACAAUUGACAAUCAAUAGUUGAAAUUGCAAAGAUUAUAUAUGGAUGAUAUUCUACUCCAAAUUAAUUGACUAAAGUGUUCCAUAUCUCACCAUACGUCGAUGUUGCUAUCAUCACUUUAUUUUGGGGACUUAUUGUUACCGUUGUCUUGAUGUUGCCGUGGUACGCUCCGGCGUUAUGUAUAGCUUGUAACCCUCUUAGAAUAGCCUUACAAUAAACACAAACAACUAUUAUUUUCUCUUAGCUCAUAAAAAAAAAUUGUCAAUUUAUGCAACUUUUUUUCCCAUUACUAUUCCUAAGAACGGACUUAGUGUCGGUCCCAAGGCCAAUACACCAAGUUCCUAAGUUGUUGUACUCCCAAGCCGCCUUUGGUCUUGCGAUCCACGAGGUCAAGCUAUCUUCGGUGAAUUCUUUUCUUGAUACAACCGUGCUUGCAUUUUUGCAAGUACCAACGUAAAAUUCAUCACAAACUGAAGGAUUUGUUAUGUUUUCGAAAACAUUUUGGAAAUGUAUAGCUUCUUGAUGAGUAUUGGUUAGGUGAACUGUUACGGUUUUGAAAUCCAAAGGAUUGGUAGUCCAACAAUGGGCUUCAAAAGUUGCGCCAUACGAGUGCUUUUUUAUUUUAUAGUUCAAAUUCGAAAUAUCGAUUUGGAAUUCCAUUUCAUGCCAAACUUGCAUACAAAACAUGCAAAACAAUAAUGUUGGGCUUUCUUUAUUAGCAAAAUAAAAUACAUCAAGUAAUAAGUGGAAUCAGACUUUACAAUUCUUCCAGAUGGAUUUCCUCUAACCUUCCAAUCAUCAGUGUCAUAGUUGGAAGGUUAGAGUAAAUCCACCUGGAGGAGUUGUAAAUUCUGAUUUCACUUAUUUAGUUGAUGUAUUUUAUUUUGUUAAGAAACAAAGCCUAAUAUUAUUGUUUUGCAUGUUUUGUAUGCAAGUUUGGCAUGAAAUGUAAUUUCAAAUCGAUAUUCCAAAUUUGAACUAUAAAAUAAAAAAGCACUUGUAUGGCGCAACUUAUGAAGCCCAUUGUUGGACAACCAAUCCUUUGGAUUUCAAAGCCAUAACAGUCCACCUAACCAAAACUACCAAAACUCAUCAAGAAGCUAUACAUUUACAAAAUGUUUUUGAAAACAUAACAAAUCCUUCAGUUUGUGAUGAGUUUUACGUUGGUACUUGCAAAAAUGCAAGUACGGUGGUAUCAAGAAAAGAAUUCAUCGGAGGUAGCUUGACCUCGUGGGAUUGCAAUACCAAAUGGGGAUUGGGAGUACAACAACUUGGGAACGUGGUGUAUUGGCCUUGGGGCCGAUACUAAGUCUGUUCUUAGGUGUAGUAAUAGGGAAAAAAAAAAAAGUUGUAUAAAUUGACUUUUUUUAAUUUAUAAUGAGCUAUGAGAAAAUAAUAGUUGUUUGUGUUUUUGUUAGGGCUAUUUUGAGAGGUUUACAACCUAUACCUAACGCUGGAGCGUAUCAUGGCAACAUCAAGACGACGGUGAGGAUAAGUCCCAAAAUGAGGUGUUGAUAGUAACAUCGAUGUAUGGUGAGAUAUGGAGCACUUUAGUUAAUUAAUUGGAGUAUAAUAGCUUCCAUAUAUAAUCUUUGCAAUUUCAACUAUUGAUUGUCAAUUGUUAGUUAGAUAUGGUCAUCUGAUAGCAUAUUAAACCCUUCCUCUUAAGAGGUUAUGAUGCAUAUAUAUGCACGUUUGAAUUUUUUUGUUGUCACAUACACAAUUAUAUAUGGAAUCGCGCGCCCUAAUACUUAAGAAUUAGUAGAAGAGGUAUUGAUUUACACAACCUCCUGAAUAAUCAGGUGCAUUGAUCAUUUAGCAAUUUAGCUAAUCGAAUACCAGUAUAAGUUGAACAUCCUUGUUUUUAGUGACACUUACUAUCCCUAUGGUUGAUCUAAAAAUGAAUCAGAGAAAAAGCUUGUGUAUUUGUUAACUUUUGUAGUCAAACAUUUCUGAUUUGGGUUCAACGAAUUCUAGUUAUUAUUAUCAUAAAAAAAAAAUUAUCAUAAAAGAAAUAUGAAAAUAGUAGAUAGUCAUUUUAUUUCACUUGUAUUGGGGAUGGAAAGAUAAAGAUGGAAGGAAGUUUGGGUUAACUUUUAUUUGGUGGCUAUGCAACGUGGUAGUAUGGGGGCUUCACCAGAUUGUGAAAUAUGAAUAGUAUCAUAGCAAGAAAACGUGGCACGUAGUUGUGCAGUUGACUAAAUGAAAGUUUGGUGGAUGUGAGCAUUGCUGACUUUGAAGAUAUUGUGAAGAUGGUAGUUGCAGGUCAUCCGAUCACCCCCCACACCGGGAGCUACUCCGGCGGUGGUGCCAAAAGUUAUCGAUAUGUUUCAUGCAUUGUGCAACCUGUUGCCAAAGACUACAAAGCAAAACAACUUGCAAAAUUUGAGGGACUUUUGUUUUUUUAUAUACAACACUCCCUUGGUUUGGGAGGGCAAAGAAAGGUUCAUGUUUAAGGACAUUGUUUGGAACAUCAAGAAUAGAGAGAGACACGAAUGCGUUCAAAACUAUUACGUUCAAUAGCAGUUUCAUAGACAUGACCGGGUGGUAGAGCUGCAUUCCGAUGAAUCCGUCAGGUGCUUUUUAUAGGGUCUUGAUGUACAACCCGAACAAUGCUUCUAAUCCCAAUCAAACAUAUCCAAUUGCUGUAUACAAUGAUGAGAGUGGAAUCGUUGAUUACGAGAGGAACUUUCUUGUCCAUUUUCAGACCCAUGUAUGCGGCAAUUCUCGAGAUGUGAGUCGGCUUCAAAUUGAAAGCUUGCUCUACAAUAUUCUACCAGAAUCAUGUUCUGUUGUUUAUUACGGUUUGGUUCAAAGGUUUCAAACUACAAGCUCGAAAUAUUUCAAGAACAAUCUGGAGAAAAUGUUCACUGCAGAACCAUCUCCAUGUUACUAGAAGAUUGACAGGUUGGUUUACUGUUUCCUGGAGCUGAUCUUGCUUACCUAUGGCACUGUUUCCUAGAGCUGAUCGGGUUUACUGUUUCCUGGAGCUGAUCCUUUAUCCAAAAAGUUACUCCAUAUUGCAAGUAGUUGUGUUUGCAUGCUACCCAUACACCAUUAGUAUCUAUCAAAAUCUGGGAAUUACACUACCAGAUAUGGAUAUAUGCGGCUGUUUUUUUGGCAUAUUCAGUGACUAGUUUUUGGUUUGUGAUUUAGUUCUGAAUUUUGUCGUUUUCUAUGAUUUUUUUCGUACUUUGGAAAUUGAAAAUUUGAUGGUGGAUAUAGACAAAUGUUUGCGUUUUUUAUUA